AGAUGGUGUCUUGCUGUCACCCAGGUAAGAGUACAAUGGUGUGAUCUCAUCUCACUACAACCUCCGCUUCCUGAGUUCAAGAGAUUCUCCUGCCUUAGCCUCCCAAGUAGCUGGGAUUAUAGGCGUGUGCCACCACGCCUAGGUAAUUUUUUGUAUUUUCAGUAGAGACGGGGUUUCACCAUGUUGGCCAGGCUGGUUUCGAACUCCUGACCUCAAGUGAUCCACCCACCUCGGCCUCCCAAAGUGCUGAGAUUACAGGCGUGAGCCACUGCUCCCAGCCUGAGUGUCUGGAUUUUUUCACCUAUCAAACAGUGUUGCAUUUUGUCCUGAGGUGAUUCAGUUCCUUGCAGAUCAUCUUGAUCUUUGACGCUCUCUCUAGGGCUGGCUUAGCCCUCAGUGGUGGCCUUUCUGCAGUCUCUAGUGAAUGACCUGUGUGGUCAGUGACAUCUUUUCACCUCGUCUGGUUGGAACUUGCCUGUUUCCAAGCCCUGUGUAAGCUCUGAUAGUUCUCAGCAUCAGAAGAUGCUUUUGUCUUCACAGUGGUGGUUCCUUGGUCUCACCCUCCCAGGGUGCAGUUUAGUGUACAGAGACUCCAGGGGACGCCCCCGUGCAGAUUUCCAGGGCUUUUUCUCCCAUAGCUUCCUCUCUCCAGUGCUCUGCCCUGCCACUUUUAGCUGCCUCUGCGUCCCUGAACUCCAGUCCUUGUCUCCUCAGCUAUGCAAGACCACCUGCCCUGCCUGUGCCCCUUGUCCCUGCUCCAGGGAAGGAGCUGCCUGCAGGGGCUGGAGUCAUGGGUCAGGGCUGCGUGGCGUGUUUCCUGGCUCUCAGGUUCACAGUCCUGCACUUCCCGCUUCCUGUUGUCUGGAGGUUGUUGCUUCCUAGAUUUCGUCUGGUUUUUUCCUUGUUGAUGGUGCGGAGCUAACGUGGUACAGGUUGCUCCAUCGUGGGCAGGAGUAGAAGUUUUAUCUGUGGGUCUCCGUAGUUUUAAUCUUCCCUUGAGUCAUAUUUAUUUUUUUCCCUGGUGUUCAUUAUCUUUGGGGCGUAGGCUAUACGAAGCUCUUAGACUGCUGAUCAGCCUGCCUUUGGGUGGUCCUCUGGGUCGGACUGGGUCAAGC
rnacentral:lncRNA from 1 species